rnacentral:rRNA from 1 species
GACGAACGCUGGCGGCGUGCCUAAUACAUGCAAGUCGAACGCAGUGGGGACGGGUGCGUAACACGUGGGUAACCUCCCAUCAGAGGGGAUAACACUUGGAAACAGGUGCUAAACCGAUACUGAAGGAUGGACCCGCGGGGGAGUAGCUAGUUGGUGAGGUAACGGCUCACCAAGGCCACGAUGGAUAGCCGGCCUGAGAGGGUGAUCGGCCACACUGGGACUGGGACACGGCCCAGACUCCUACGGGAGGCAGCAGUGGGGAAUAUUGCACAAUGGGCGCAAGCCUGAUGCAGCCAUGCCGCGUGUGUGAAGAAGGCCUGCGGGUGGUAAAGCACUUUCAGCGAGGAGGCGUUACUCGCAGAAGAAGCACCGGCUAACUCCGUGCCAGCCGCCGCGGUAAUUC